ensembl:snoRNA SNORD94 small nucleolar RNA, C/D box 94
UUGGCAGUGAUGAUCGGCGCAGGGGUACAGACCUCAGCUGGAUAAUGGGAGCUGAGUGCAGACAUUAUCUGUUCAUCCUGCGUGUGGUGGGGUGUUCCAAGAAGUGCUUGCAUGAGAAAAACUGCCUGUAUCUGAGCCUC